UUAAAAAGCUCGUAGUCGGAUUUCAGAAUCGAGACUUGAAUUAUUUAAAUUCUAUGUUUCUUUUCUUCAUUGGUACGAAUCUACAUCUGAUUUAUUUCCGGUGUUGCCUAGUGCCUCUUUUACUUUGAGAAAAUUAGAGUGUUCAAAGCAGGUCAUCGCCUGAAUAUUACUCUUGGAAUAAUGAUAUAGGACUUUGGUUCCAAUUUGUUGGUGUAUUAGGACCGGAGUGAUGAUUGAUAAGGACGGUUGGGGUCAUUCAUACUGCAAAGCGAGAGGUGAAAUUCUUGGACCUUUGUAUGAUGAACAGCUGCGAAAGCAUUUGACUAGGACGUUCCUGUUGAUCAAGAACGAAAGUUGGGGGAUCGAAGACGAUCAGAUACCGUCGUAGUCUCAACCAUAAACUAUGCCAGCUAGGGAUUGGAAGAUGUUUAUUUACGACUCUUUCAGCACCUUAUGAGAAAUCAAAGCAUUUGGGUUCCGGGGGGAGUAUGGUCGCAAGGCUGAAACUUAAAGGAAUUGACGGGAGGGCACCACCAGGAGUGGAGCCUGUGGCUUAAUUUGACUCAACACGGGAAAACUUACCAGGUCCGGACAUAGUAAGGAUUGACAGAUUGAAAGCUCUUUCUUGAUUCUAUGGGUGGUGGUGCAUGG
rnacentral:rRNA from 1 species